UAAACUCUCCAACAAUGCAUCGCAAAAAUGAAUGCUCAUCGUAGAUUUGUAGUCUAAUUUGUUUCUCUUUAGUUUGAUGUAUUAUUUCACUAUUUCAUGUUUUCCUUCCAUUGUUAUAGCAGAUUCAAUGUGGGAGGUGAAAUAUUGUAGGAAAUUAUGUAAGCUUUAAAUUCUUAUAGAGUAGUCAUGUCCGUAAAAUGCAUAAUUUCGAGUUAUAUGCGAGAAACAAAAAAAUGGUACCUUUGAACCUCCCCCACCCCCUUAGCACAGUGGGUAGGGGUGGGGACUUUUGAUAUGUUUACCUCCUUACUACCCUGAACAGAACUGCGGGGUAAAAAUUGUCUUCCAAACUUUUCCCUCUAUAACACUUUGUUAACUGGGCUAUUACCUCAUGAGAUUAAAUAUAUUUUGAAUUCGGCUUACAUGAGCUCACAGUUUGAUUUUAUAUUAGAAUAUUAUUAUGAUUCUUUCAAACAAGUUUGAAGAGUUCUUAUAGAAAGUUUAAUAUAAUCGACAUGUGUGUUACUGUCAACUACAUAAUAAGCAAUCUCCUCUUUUGUAAAAUAAGAGUUGGCAGGACAGGUCAACAAUCUUACCCGACGAUUGUAAAAUUUCAUUUCAUUUUUAAUCACCAGAAUAAUUAAAAAAUAUAAUUUCUUAUCAAAUGAACUACUCGUAAUAUUGACCUGCAAAUUAAAGUUAUUCAUCUUAUCAGAACACGGAAGGCGUGUUGUAUUAAUUUAUUCAAUGCAAUAAGUUCAUUAUCAAGACGUAUUUUGAUAAUUCUUGCCCAUUUUGAUAGCGGGUUAAUGCUCUGUAUAGUUAUCUCUUGUUGCAACAAACAGCUAUUAAAAACCUACUAGAACAUUACUGUGAUUUAUUAUUCGAGUUUUUCCGAAAAUUAAAUUGUACCUAUUUAGUAGGUCUACUCUGAUUAAGAGAUUCAGUUACAUUAAAAGUUAUUUAGUUUAUUGUUCAUCAAAUAUUAGAAAAGAGAGAAGUUUUCGAAAGUGAAAUUGCUAUAAUUAUAGUAAGUGUGCAAAAUAGUAGUACUUUUAUACCGUGUCACGGUUGAUGUUAAAUACGCUAUCUUGAUCAUGUUCCGUUUCAUCGAGUUAUAUUAGGAAAUUAAGAACAAACAUUAAUAGGAGUGACAGUGUGUAAGACAUUUCAGGCCUCUAAAUAAUUGAAUAUUUUUGAAUGAAUGGUAAAAGCAUUUUUCUGUCCAUCUGUAGAAAAGCAUUUUUGUUGUAGUCAGCUCUUGCUGCUUCACGCCUAUCUCUCAAGUUGAAAUGAUCAAAAUAGAUUGGUAAUCAAACUAAUAACUUCACAGUUUGUGAUAAAAUCUAUCAAGUAUUUUCAAAUGCUGUGAAUUUAGUUCUUACUGAUUUUGAUACAACUGUACAAUGGCUACGAAUGAACUUGAUCAUUCAGUUCUGGAAAUAAGUGAAAGGAUCAUUUCUGAGAGACUUGACAAUUUGAAAGUGGUUUCAGGAAAGUAUACCGCACUUGAUACAGAUGGACAUUUUACAUCUACUGUAAAGGCUUUAGAAAUAUGUGUUGUGAAUGCUAAUGGUUGUGGAGAUAAGAGAUCAAUUAACCUCAUAGCGAAGGUUCUGGAGAAUCAAAAGGAUGACUAUUUGAAGUUGGCAUUCAGGAAGGAGAAUGAAUUCUACUGUUCUCUAAUACCCAUGUACAAUAGCAUCAGUUUGAGCAGAAAUAUGGAUGACACCUUGACUCCAAAUUAUUUUGGGAGCAAUAUUUCAUCAACAGAGAAUGAACCAAGUAUAAUUCUUCUAGAUAAUUUGCAAUAUUCUGGCUACAAGGUAUUCCCUAACAGAUUUUUCGACUGGGACCUCACAGAACUGAUCAUUGACAAGAUGAGCCUCUUCCACGCUUUUGGAAUCGCGCUAAAACAACUGAGAAGCAAGAUUUUCGAAGAGGAUUUUAAAGAUGUGGUUGAGCCUGCUCUACGGAACAGCAAUUCGAUUGAUAGAUCGACUAUUAACUUGAAGCUCAGAACCGAAAUCAGAGAACUUCUACAGAAACGACCCGACAUGGAAGAGCUGGUGCCGAGAGUCGAUGCACUUCUAGAGAAAAUCGACAAUAUGAGAAUUCCUCAACCAAAAAACCCAUUCUGCACCUUGAUACACAACGAUCUAUGGAAGAACAAUAUUUUACUUAAAUACUCAGAUGAAUCAAUCUUAGUUGACGUCAAAUUCAUAGACUUCCAAUUUGUUCUGUACAACUCUCCUAUACGAGACUUGGCUUAUUUUAUUUUCUCAUCAUGUUCUCCUGAUAUACAAAAGGAGUUCAGGAAAAUAUCAAUGUUCUACUAUGAAUGUUUUGUGGAAAAUCUCAAAAAACUGAAAUGUGACAUUAGUGAAUUCACCGAGAGUGGAUUUGUUGAAGAGGUGAAUGAGUUUGCGCCAACAAAAUUUAAACAUUUGAUACUUUUAAUGAAGAAUACGCCAAAUACAUUUGAAGAGAGGCUGAUUGAACUUGUAACAAGUCAUGCUGAAAAUGAUUUGCUGUGAAUAAUGCUUAAUGUUAUAAAUAUUGUGAUAAUGUAGGUAAUCCUAGGUAUUUGAGAAUCAUUUUUCUCUUUUCGUCCUAGGAUAACAGGGUACUCGAUAAUUUAUUGAUUUCUAUUGAAAUUUGAAAAAGAUCUGUGUUACUGGGUCUUGAAUAAUUAAUUUAUCAUUAGAUAUUCAUUUUCAAAUAAAAGUCUUAUUAAAUGAGAUUCCAGUUUGUCUAUGAUGGAUUAUAGUAACAUUUUUUGAUAACAAAUGGAAUGGAAAAUCAUAAAAAUAAUUUAACAAUGAGCUUGGGAAAUUUGUAAUUAGUGGAAAUAUCCUGUUUAAAUUAAUUAUUCAACAGUAUAAGAUAUAAGGAGGAAAAGCUCUCUCAACCGUAACAAUUAUUAUUAAAUUAAAACUUGACUUACUCUCAUGAAAACAGUAUUAAAAAUGAUAAGGUGUCAUCAGUUAUUUCAUAGUUUGACAACUUUUUUUUCUCUUAUCAACAAUAUGUCAAACGUUUUUGUAUAUGUAAGUAUAAUUAAGUUCAUGUGAGUCACUGUAAAAACCUACACACUUAUGCCCUCAAUGUUCUAACUUGUUCUGACUUGAACAAAUUUUGUGACAAAACUGAAAUAAUCAUUCACAAUAUUACUCUCCAAGUCAACGCCUAUUAUGAAUGGGGAAAUCCUGUUAUUAGUAGGCAUACCUACAUUUCACCUUCUAACUAGUUGUCAAUUUUUUAAAAACGAGCUGUCAAAUGUUUUUAAACAACUUUUCCUGUACGGGAAAAAUCUGGAAACACAGAGUUAGUGUCUAUUUGUCCUUCGAAAUUUGCAAUUGUCAUAGUUUCAGUUCAAAACAAAAUAAAAGAAGAGACAUAAACUGAAGAAAUGUCAGUAUACCGCCAAGUAGGGUUAAGAUUAGCACAGAACUACAGAUACUGGAAUUUGGAUUAUUAGUACCUAUUUUAGUUUUCGUUCCUUGGGAAAUAAGUCGAUAUCCACAGUGUGAGUUAUCGUUAUUUUGGUGAAAUUUGUCAAAAUUUUUUACGUAUUUUCGAUAGUUUAUAGUUUUUUCGUGGGAAUAUUAGAAGUUUUCAUCGACAUAGUUUCAGCUAUCUAAGAAACCUUGAGAAGUAUGGAAGUAUUGAGAAUUCAAUUGGAUACUCUGUGAUAUAUUUUGUCUCUUAUCAAAAGUGUUAAGCUUUGUAGGGAUAGGCAAGGUAUCACAAGUUUUUUUUGCUAAAAUGGGAUUCCUUCCGAUUGUGCUGAUACCUUUUUUAGUGUUCUGUGCAGCCUUGGCUAAUCCGACAGACUAUGAAGUAAAUUUGACCGAUUAUGAUGGAGUUCAUUUGAUUAGAGUUUACUCAAAGUAUGAUGGAUCUGUUGAUAGAUUAAUUGAUAAAUUGGCGGAGGAAGAUGACGUAUCAAUAAUAAGAAGAAGCUUAGAUUCAACAGAUAUACUUGUUGUUCAUGACAAUGUAAAAUGGAUCAAAAGGGACUUUGAGAACAAAAGUAUUCGCUAUGAGAUUGUGAUUGAAGAUGUUGGAGCUGCUAUCAGGGAAGAAACUGGAAUCGCACCAAAGCCCGACAGACCUAACGUUGAAUGGGAUUGGUGGAGCUCAUCCUGGGCCCAAUGGUGGAGGAACUUUGGCUGGAAAGAACAUAAUCCCAAAAUGGUGGAAUUUCCCGAACACAAGGGACAUGCCACAUACAGGCAUAGUGAGUGAAAACAAUCAUUGUAUCAGCACGAAUUAAUGUCCAAUAAACUAUUUCAAUACGCUUUUGUGAAGUCCAAA